GCGAGCGUUAAUCGGAAUUACUGGGCGUAAAGCGCAUGCAGGUGGUUUGUUAAGUCAGAUGUGAAAGACCCGGGGCGUCAACCUCGGAAUUGCAUUUGUAAACUAGGCAGACUAGAGUACUGUAGAGGGGGGUAGGAAUUUCAGGUGUAGCGGUGAAAUGCGUAGAGAUCUGAAGGAAUACCGGUGGCGAAGGCGGCCCCCUCGGACAGAUACUGACACUCAGAUGCGAAAGCGUGGGGAGCAAACAGGAUUAGAUACCCUGGUAG
rnacentral:rRNA from 1 species